ACCCCUCACGUUUCUCUCAUCGCGCACACACGCACGCUCGAACACGACCUCGCCCUCGCUCAUUCCCCUCCUGUGAUCGAGCCGCCACCUGCUGCCGCCCUGGCCGCUGCCGGCCGAAUCCGCCGUCGCUACUCGCCGGAUCCGCUCCAUCUCUCUCUACCCUCGUGAAUCCUCUAAUUCGAUUCGUUUUUCUUGCCCUCUCGUGUCCUUCGCGGACGGCUUCGAUCUUGCUGCUAUCCCGCCGCUGUUACUGCUCCGGCCGACUCGGGCCGCCAUCGGUGCCGCCAUGCUGCGCUACUCCUUCGAAUCGUCCCUCACCAUUGGAUCCUCACGGCCACAACGCCGUCGUGCAACUGCCCGCAACCCCCACGGCUAACCCUAGCCUGGGCUCGCCGGCAUGGUUUCCCCGGCUUCCGCACCUCCGAUUGCUUCCCCGAUGACCACGACUUCCUCGUCGCCGCCUACGACUUCUACAACGACCUCCCGACUCCUGCUUCGAGGACCUCACAGUAUCCCUUGACCACGGGCUUGGCUGCGGGGUGGGUGUCGUUGUGCUGUUGAGAAUGGUGCUGUGGUGGUGUACGAGUAGUGUUAAUGUUGCUGCUGCGGCGAUGGUGCGGCAACCUCGACGCCGGCAGGAUGGUGCCAUAGACGCAACCCCGACAUCGACUACAUCGCGUACUCCAUAGAUAUUGCACGGUGAGCUAUUACAUCUCCACUACUCUACCUAUGGUUCUGAUGUCAUGAGCUGUAUAAUUUACUGCUUGAUAAUUCAGAGCCUCACAUGGUGAUGAAAUGGGGUUAGCUGACUUGUUGCUAUUUGUGGUAUCUAACUUUGGAUUAUUUAAUCAUCCCAGAAAUGUAUGGUUUAUUUCUAUGAAUUAACUGUGAUGAAACUGAACAUUUAGUUUCAGUUUAAUCCAGUUUUGAGCCUUUGUAAUUUCUCAGAUAUGUAUUCAAGGUUGGGGCUUAAAUUGAUUGUUGCUCUUCCUGGACCCCAAGUAACUCUAAAACUUAUUAACUUUUAAUCUAGUGACCCCAAGUAAAUUGAUGUGAUACUUAUACUGUCGAAACUGAAUAUUAACAGUUUAGAUUGUAGUAGAUAUUUAUUUGUAGUCAUCUAAAUGUGUCCAAAUUCUUACUUUAGCUUGCCGUGGUGGUUUGAUGCUCUAGUUCACUCCUAGUUGGGUUUAAACAACAAGAUACAAAUUAGUGUUGCCUAUAUAUUGAUGAUUUACUUGAUAUGGCUUUCUUUGUGAGCUUGUGUAGUUGUUUAUGGUGGCUUUGCUGCUAGAUCAAAAUAAUCCACUGAUCACUAUUAUGUCCUGUAACAGAUAUAUGUAUGUGCUAUGCAAAGUGGGUGCUUGACCAUUUCCAGGACAUGGCUUACUUGUGGGCUUGAUGUAUUUGGAUGGUAUUGCAGUAGGUCAUCUCUCUGAUUGCCACUGUAGUGCUAUCAAAACAUGUAAAAGAUGUAGAAAAAUCUUAUGGGCUAAAAUAUGAUGCCUUUGUCUUAACCCAAGUCUGAUGGUGUUUUAAACUGGGUUAAACUUGGUAGCUUUUGUAGUUGUGAAAUAAUUUGGUGCUAGUCACUUUUGCUCCUUGCUGUGUGUUCAUUCUUUGUAACUAUGCAUACGGAUGGGUGCUGAGCUGGCUUGGUAUCUUUUUAUUCUGCUCUGUUUAAGUUUGUCAGUUUUAUUUAGUUCAGUACCAAGUGAUGAUAAAAACAUUCAAACAUUGUUGUUUGAUGCUUUCCCCCGAUUUACUUGUCUAUCUAUAUCACUAUAUGCUUUGCUUGAAAGAGUUCAUGUAUGAUCUGUUUCAAGUGUGUGAUUUAUACCUCACUCCAGCUCCUAUGGAAAGUGUGUUUUGAUCUUGUUAGCUUCUGAUCUUGAUGAGCUUCUCCUUCUCGAACUUGUCCUUCUCCUCCUAGAUCCAGCUAUGCCACCAUGAUCUUCUUGCUUCAGCUUCUGGUUUAUGAUUUGAUUUGGCUGUUGGAAUUCUCUGGUUUGAAUUCUAGGAUGUUUCAGUGUUUUGGACAAAAGAUCUGAGACAUGUUCUUGGUUCUUAGUGUAGAACGUCGGCCGUGAAAAAUGGUACACUCCUAGAGUGUUUUGCACAACACGACAUGGCUUUAAUACCCUGCCCAAGGAGUGUCCUGGGUCGACAGCACACAUAUGCAAAUGGUGACUGUGCUGUUAGCCUGCAUGGCUGCUUGACGUGACUGAGUGCAUCUCCUUGUGGAUCAGAUCGGCCAAGAAAGAUCUUCAUUUUCCAUUUCUUUUUAUUUUUAAUCUAGCCACUUGGCUUUACUUUUCAUUUGUGUUAUCUUUGUUUGUUUUGCAGGUGAUCAAGUUAAACAAGAUGGCCUAGGAACGUGGACGAAGGUUAUGAGCUUCAAGAUUUAAUUGUAGAAUUAUUUCCCCUUUUCUUGUGUUUUGGAUUUGUAAUUUAUAUUACUUUUUUCUCCUAUGUUAUUAUUUAAGACUUGUGAAUAUUUAUACCUUAUAUAUAAUCAAGAAUUCCAUUCUUUUA